UAACAGCAUCCAGAUCAUGUUUUAUUAACGGAUUACAAAUUAUGUCUUAAAGGCUUACAAAUCAUUUGGUAAUCAUUAAUACAUACGUAUGAUACAUAAAAUGUUAAAACAACAUAAAUGAUUGCAUUACUAAUAAUUCAUUUAUUAUUUCACUGUUUGUUCACAGUAAAGUAACUAUUAACUAAAGUUCAAUUAGCCAUCAGUUUGCCAUUUAUUAGUGAAGGUUAUUAUAAAUUUGUACCUUAUAAAUUGCAAAUGGGAUCCCACUCAGGAUUGGCAGAUACUCAGUAUGAUCAGGACCAGAAGGGAAGAGAAGUGACUGAGCCUCUUGUUUUGAUUUGAUGUAUUAGACAGGGACAGUCCACAGAUUCUUAGCUGUACCAGAGUUAGCUUAAGGCUGUGGCGGAAAUUCAAAUACAGUAGGUUGAGAUCUUAAAUAAAGUCGUUUAAGUAUAUAUUCUUUGCGCAAAGAAGGUUCAGUUCAUCAUGAGAGUCUGAGAGAAUAUACAAAGAGUCUCGGAGAAUCACUUGCUUAUUAACCCUCUAACAAGCUGACAGCACUGGGCAGGGGGUCAAAUGAACAGCCCUGAUCGGCCCCUCCAAGUCAGAGAAUGCAUGGGAGUUGGACUGUCAGGGCCCACACAUCAUGACAUGUCAAAGACUUGCAGAAACCGUGAAGGGUUCAAGCAGCUAAAAA